GAUGGGAGCGGGCAGGGUUUAAACCCUGGACCACUGACAAAUCUGAACGACAGUCCAGCGCGCAAACCGCACGACCAAAAUAUCUAGUCUAGAUCUAGUAGAUCUAUUUCUAUAUGUCUAUAUCAUUAUAUUAUUAUAUAAAUCUAUAAUAAUAGAUUUUUAUUCUGUACGCAAUAGUGAUUUGGGGUAUUCUAGUCAAUCCAGAUGAGACAGCAAUUAGUAUGCGUAUUUGUGAUACUUCGAUUAGAAAGUAAUAGUAAGAUCUAGUAGGGCUGUAGAUCUAGUCUAUAAAUUAUACCAUAUUAGUAAGUUUAACUAUAGAUUUAUAUUUUCUGUUUGUAAAAUGUUUCAGAUGUUCCUUCAGAGUUGAAGAUUAUUACUUCCUAGUCCAAACCUCCCGAAGGACGACAGGGGAUGGGAGCGGGCAGGGUUUAAACCCUGGACCACUGACAAAUCUGAACGACAGUCCAGCGCGCAAACCGCACGACCAAAAAAUGUUAAGAAAUUACCAGAGAAAAACACAAGGCUCGUAUGGUCAACAUUCUUGACAGGAGCUUUAAAAGCUAUCGCUGAUGGGAUGCCACUUAACAAUGUCUCCAAAAAAAUUACAUUUAUAAUUAUUAAAUAUUUCACUUAUACUU